CCUACGGGCGGCAGCAGUGGGGAAUAUUGCGCAAUGGGCGAAAGCCUGACGCAGCGACGCCGCGUGCGGGAUGAAGGUCUUCGGAUCGUAAACCUCUGUCAGCAGGGAAGAACGGUCACUGUACUAAUCAGCAGUGAAUUGACGGUACCUUCAAAGAAAGCACCGGCUAACUCCGUGCCAGCAGCCGCGGUAAUACGAAGGGUGGGAGCGUUAAUCGGGAUUACUGGGCGUAAAGCGCUCGUAGGCUGGAUGUUAAGUCAAGGGUGAAAUCCCCGCGCUCAACGUGGGGACUGCCUUUGAAACUAGCAAACUGGAGUGUGUGAGAGGAUAGUGGAAUGCCAGGUGUAGGAGUGAAAUGCGUAGAUAUAUGGAGGAACAUCAGAGGCGAAGGCGACUAUCUGGCACAUAACUGACGCUGAGGAGCGAAAGCGUGGGUAGCAAACAGGAUUAGAUACCCUGGUAGUC
rnacentral:rRNA from 1 species